GAAAGGAGGCUGGGGGAAUCGACAUUACCUAGGCAGCCAGUAGCAUAUGUUGCAGGCCUUUUCCUAGAUGCCCACCUUCUGCCAUCUUACCAGUGGGGAAUGGACAACAUAGUCACCGAGAAUGGCUGUGGCUCAUUCUGGAGCUAUGAAAAGGUCACUUCUCUAGGGGGUUAUGGGAUGAGCCUGCCCACAGAAAUCAAAACACACUUUUUAUUCAAGGGGACUCCAUAACUUACUGAGGUGAAUGCUUAAUUUAAUCAUUAAAAAAAAUAACCAAACAAGGAAAUAAUUGUAGGCUAUGAAUUUUCCUCUGAGUACAUUUCUAGCUAAACGUAUAUCUUAUUCAACGGUCAUUUUCUAAAUAUUUGAUGGUUUUGUUAUUGAUUCUUUUUAACUCAAAAGCUGUUUAGGGGCAACUUAAAAUGUUUUCAAGUCAUUGAGAUAUUCUGUUUGUUCCAGUAAGACCCUAAAGAUGACCUUUCUCAGUGCCCUUCACAGCGUGGGACACAUACUGGUGGCGUCAAUUUUGUGGCAAUAAUGGAUUCAGGCACUAGAAGAAAUAGUAAACAGAACCUGGGCAGCCCAAGAAUUGGAUGUCUACUGCAGUCCAUGUUAGAGACGAAGAGACGGAGGCUCAGAGAAGUGAAAAUUCUCGCCUGGCUGGACUCCAAAAAUCACGGGGCACAGUGGGGAGAUCUUUGUUCAUCCCGAGCGUAGAGAUUGAAACAAAAGGAGGUGGUGGUAAUGGAAUCAGAGGACAGGAGGAGGGCCACUGGAGUGGAGACCCAAGCCCCUGGGAUGGAGGAUGGGAGCCUGGGUCAGGAGAGCCUGAGCCGCGAGUCUUCAGUCCGUGAGGCAUCACAAAAAGGAGGAAACCAAUGAACACGGAUAAGGCACAUAUCAUGUGCUAGGCAUUCCUAUCUCAGGAACCACGUACAGAAUUUAUGGACUGGUCCUGAUGCCUCCCCCGAAAUCAUAUUCCCUCUUCCCGAUUUACGGCACCUCAUUUUCUUUAGAGUUUUCACCCUGGCUCAGGCAACCACUGUGACUCUAUUUCCCUUACUAGGUAUUGGCAGAGGAAUAGCCACGUGAACCCGUUCUGACCCCUGAGACAAGAGGGCAAGUCUGAAGGAGGAGGAAGUCUGGGAAAAUAAGAGAAAUUUAGGAAAAUACUGUCUUCUCCUUUGCUGGGUGCCGUCAGGUCUGGAUGUGAUGCCUGGAAUGGCAGCAGCCAUUUUGUGACCAUGCGUGGCUUGAUGGAACAGAAAGAUGAAAAGGAUCUGGGUCCUUGAUACCAUCAAGCAACUAAAUUAACCAACCCUGGGGCCACCCUACCUUAAGGCUUCUUAUGAUUGUUUGAGAUAAUACAUUUUAUUUCUCAUUUAAACCAAUGAGUCUGGGUUUCCUAUUACUCUGCCCAACUCAUACAGAUACAAGAACAAAUUUUUAUCCCUACUUGAAGAAAGUGAGACCCAAUGAAGUAAACGCACUUGCCUGAGGACACACACAGCCUGGACAUGGGGGAGCCAGGAGUUGAACACUGUCUUAGAAGGAGGAACUUUCUGGAAGGUGGCAGGAUUUUUUUUUUUUAAACCUGAGCGUUUUUGGCCUUUCUAAAGCAUGCACAUGAUCCUUUUUCUCCACAGCAACAGGUCGCAAUGGCUUCUAACAGGUGAGGACAGGAGAGAUUGGUUGGAGCUGAGACUCAAACCCAGGUCCCCAUAUCCCAGCUCACAGUCUUCUCAGUACCUCAAGGUGCUCAGGGACAUCGGAGAGCCCCCCUUGCUCUUAGCUUCUUCCGUUUGGGAUGCACCUGCUGGGUCCCACAGAUUAGCCCUUGGGCUGCUCUGAGAUUGGCCACCAGGGGCCACUAUAGUCACAGCCUGGGGCCUCCUCAGAGGCCUGAGGGAAACUUGGAAGCAAGGGACAUGGUUAGAAGAGCCCCUAACUGAGCUCCCCUUAAUUGUGCCCUGAGGCUGUAAGACUCAGGAAAUCCCUGCCCCCCCCCACACACACACACACCGCCACCACUACAAGGAGAGAAGGUGGCCUAGAUCCACCUCUGGAGAGUCUAGGACCUAGUUGCUGUGUGCCCUCAAGCAAGUUGCCUCCCCUCUCUGAACCUCACUUUUCAAAAUAGGGGUACACAUCCCCUCUUCUCAAACGAGGGCUCCCUUUCUCCCCUUGAGUCUUCCCCCUCUUUUGGGUCUACUCUGACGGUGGACAAAGACCAUUUAGGAUGUGGUGGCCCCAGAACUGAGGCCCAACAAUUCCAGGUCAGGGUCAGAUUCUAGUCCUCGCUCUGCUGCAAACUUAUGAGUCUGUGUUGCAGUCGGGAAAACCAAUCAAAUCUCUCCCCUCUCUGGGUCUCAGUUUCCCCAGUUGCAACACAAGAGGCAGGACUCAGUAUUUCCUGAAGUCUGGUUCGUUCCUUGGGAUGUUAAUAGAAACAAAAACUCAGGUGAUCAAAAAUGUUAAGGAAAGGCUGGAUUAAAGUCAAAAGGGUAUCUUGCCUGCAGGACUUUUCAGAGCCUUUAAAAUGCUAAGGUGAUUUGUGCCACUCCAAGAGGGAGGGGUGAUUCGAAUCUGUUUCUCAAACUUGUGUGACCUGGAAACCCAACUUUCCAAGGUGAAAGUCACCUGGAUUAGGGUGAUGACAGAAAUAACACACCUAACUUUUGGGCUACCUCCUACUAAACAGGAUCUGUGCUGCCUGGAGGAUUUGACCACCCAGCUCCUGUGUUCAACCCCCAUGGCACGUGUUUUGUUUUGUAACGUUAGCCUCACUUUACAGCGGAGAGUCAGCUCAAAGAGGGCGAUCACUUGCCAAAGGCCACAUGCCUAUGAGGGGUAAGAUCAGGACUAAAACCAGGAGGCCCCACUGCCCUCUAGUGGGGGUGUGGGUGGGGUUGCCUCUCAAGGACAAAUUUGCCCUGUCAUCCUGAUCACCCAUCACCUGGUGCCAUCCUAGUCCUUCAGGUGCCACCAUCCCCUAUGACAGAUCAGGAACUGAGACUCAGAGAGGCCACACAAGUUGCCCGGAGUCACACAUGGAGUCUAUGUGAUACUCUCUUUUCCGCCUUCUGCUACCCUCCGGCGAGCUGGUGAUGGUGGUGAUUUAAACAAAACAUUUUGUCCACUGGGCUUGCUCACCUCACUGGCCAGGUUCCACCUUCCAGUGGCCAGCUGGGGGAGCCGGUGGGGACGCCCAGGGCCCUUUAAGAGAGCCCGGAUGCGCAGGCGCAGUGCAGUGGAACCUAGGCGUGCGUGAAACACGUGGGCGCGGUGUUGGCUGCCGCUGAGACCUGAGCUCUAAAGUCGCUGUUUCGAGGCAAGUUAGGGGUGGAACUUGUCUCAGCUUCCCCUUCCCAGAAACGGGGACUGCUCCAAAGACUAGGAUACGCGCCAAGGAAACACGGAGUCACCCUGGAAAGGUCAGUGUCCCUGUAGCAGGCUCUUUAUGCAGAUAUUUCAGGAAGCUCUCGCGCCCCUCUGGGGCAGCUCCGAUGUCUCUGGGAGAUGUGGCGAUCUUCUAAUAGUGGUUGUGACAGUAAGUGGUUAUGUGCCAGCCACAUGUGCCUACUAUACCGGACAGCUUAGCUCUUAGCCUGUGUGAGACGCAGACAGCGAAAUGGAGAGGAGGGGUAUGCUGGUGUCCCAGGAGAGGCUUAGAGACAGAGGAAGGAGUGCACCUGGGUGCGGGGCUGGACGGGAUGGCAGAUUCUCCCCGCUGCUCCUUCACCAGCCGGAAGUCUGGCCGCUAGAGAUGUGGGACUCCAGGCUGGACUAAGGUUCUGGGAACCAAAUAGGCCACAUCUGGAGCUUGGCAGUGGUUUUAUGUUCUGUGCCUAGAGCGGCAGUUCAGAGCGCUAACUGAAUCAGAAAGCCUUUCUAUCGCAGUUGCUUCUCCCCUCUCUGCUCUCCAUCCUCAGCUGUGUGGCUUUGAGCAACUGACUGGGCCUCACUAGCCUCACCUGUGACAUGGGAAGGUGCACCUGUAUCACCUGUAUUGCGUGGUGCGCCUGAACCGGUGUGAGGACUAAAUACAGUAGGUCCACAAAUAACUUUGUUUUGAUCAACGAUGUUUCAUUAUAAUGCCAAUGAGAUGCCACAGGAACUUAGCUCUUGUUUGUAUCAAGUGGCCUGUGGUAAAAUUGGUUUUGUCAUACAUUGUUUUGCUUCAAGUCGCAGACCCUAUGGACAUUAAAUGCGGACUUAACUGUACCGUUUAGCGCUGCACCUGGUGACUCAUCUGCCUGCAGUGACUGUGGGCGGCUGGUAAUUGUAGCAGUGAUAGUAACAUUCUCAUUGUCACCUGUUCUGCCCCUCCAGUGUUGUAAUCAAAGGUGAUUGUAUAAAGGGGAAGGGUGCCGCAAUGCUGGAAGGCCCUCUGAGAUCAGCUAGCUCAGCUCCCAGGGAGAAGGAACUCUGCCAAGUCACCCAGGGAGCCUGUGCCAGGGCUAGACCCCCAGCUGGGCCUGCGGCCGGGCCAGACUGUGCCACUCGGACCUGCCCGGCAGAGGACGGUUUCCCAGGACAGGAGGUGGCUCCUCAGCCCCCACCUGCAAAUGCGAGGGACC